ensembl:lncRNA
AGUAAUUGUUCAUUCCAGUCUCUUCCCUCAACCGUGGCUGUUGGAUUUCUCUCUGAGCAAUCCUGCAGCUGCACACAGAGCUGCAGACUUCCCUUGUUUAAUCAUCAGACCAACAGCACUGCUUACAGCAGCCUGCAGCUGCAGAGCCUCUGCCCAUCACCAUUCCUUUGGCUGCUGCAGUGCUUUUCAGAAGCCCACGUCCAACCCCACGUGAGUAGCCUGAAGUCGUGGAUGUUCUACAUGACGGCCUCCAAUAGACCAACACAUUUUCUGUUCAGUGAGCACCUUCAGCCUGACACCUUUUCUGUUCAGUUCACAUAUGCCCAAGGCUUGGACAUGCGACCUCAUCUGGUUCUGGCAAAAGUUCAAACAUCACCCAUUGUAGAAGUAGGAAG